GGGGGAGGACGGCCUUCCUGCUUAUCAGCCUAGCGGGGACGGCCCUG
rnacentral:ncRNA from 1 species